rnacentral:rRNA from 1 species
UAGUAAUCGCAGAUCAGAAUGCUGCGGUGAAUGCGUUCCCGGGUCUUGUACACACCGCCCGUCACACCACGGAAGUUGGGGGCGCCCGAAGCCACUUAGCUAACCCAUUUGGGAAGCGAGUGUCGAAGGUGAAAUCAAUAACUGGGGUGAAGUCGUAACAAGGUAUC